AACGAACGCUGGCGGCAUGCCUAACACAUGCAAGUCGAACGAGACCUUCGGGUCUAGUGGCGCACGGGUGCGUAACGCGUGGGAACCUGCCCUUAGGUUCGGAAUACCUCACCGAAGGGGGUGCUAAUACCGGAUAAUGUCUUCGGACCAAAGAUUUAGCGCCUUUGGAUGGGCCCGCGGCGGAUUAGCUAGUUGGUAGGGUAAUAGCCUACCAAGGCGUGGAUGGGUAGCUGGUCUGAGAGGAUGAGCGGCCACAGUGGGACUGAGAAACGGCCCAGCCUCCUAAGGGAGGCAGCAGUGGGGAAGAUUGCACAAUGGGCGGACGCCUGAUGAAGCAACGCCGCGUGCGGGAUGACGGCCUUCGGGUUGUAAACCGCUUUCGCCUGUGACGAAGCGUGAGUGACGGUAAUGGGUAAAGAAGCACCGGCUAACUACGUG
rnacentral:rRNA from 1 species